rnacentral:lncRNA from 1 species
AUGGGGAUGCUCACCCAAGGGAUGCUCCCCAGGGAUCUUUGUGCAUNNNNNNNNNNGCGCUGCUCGGGGCCGGUUGCAGCCCGGUGCUGCUGCGGGGCACAGGAAGGGGCUGGGACAAGGGCGAGCGGCGGCGGACGACGGGGACCGGUGAGGGGGUGGCGGAGACUGGGGGGAGCCCCCAUCCCUGGGGGCAAGCAGAGGGGCUGCCCCGCUCUACCCCAAACCCAUUUUGCACCCUUCAUCCCCUUUUCCCCUCCUUUGGCCCCUUUUUCCUUUUCCUCCCCACCUUGUCCCUUCUUUUGCCCCCCUUUCCCACCCUUUCCCCCCUUUUUUCCUCUUUUCUCACCCUUUUCCCCUCUUUUUCCCCUUUUCCUCCCCUUUUCCCUCCUUUUCCUUCCAUUUUCCACCCUUACCUUCCCUUUCCUUCCUUUUCUCUCCUUUUCCCCUCUUUCCCCCCCUUUCCCUCUCUAUUUUUUUACUCUUUUCCCUACCUUUUUCCCCCUUUCUCCUGCUUUUCCCCUUCUUUUACCUUUUCCCCUCUUUCUCCCCUUUCCCCUCUUUUUCCCCAUUUACCCCUUUUCCCUUUUCCCCCUCCUUUUUUUACCCACUUUCCCCCCAUUUUCCUCCUUUUCCCCUCCUUGUUCCCCCCUUUCCUUUCCUUUUUCCCUCUUCUCCCCCUUUUCACCCCUCUUUCCUUCCCUUUCCCUUCCCUUUCCCUUCCCUUUCCCCUCCUUUUCCUCCUUUUCCUUCCCUUUUCCCAUCCUAUUCACCAUUUCCCCUCCUUUCUCCCUCCAUUUUCCUCCUUUCCUCCCCUUCUCCCUUUCCCCUCUAUUUCUCUCCCCCCCUCCCAUUUUCCUCCUUUUUCCCCCCUUUCUCCCUUUUUUUCAGUGGAUGCUGAUGCCCCAAAUCAAGCAGCAAAUGUCAGGCCGAGCCCCCCCCGUGUUUUUUGUUUGUUUGUUUGUUUGUUUUUUGUUUUUUGUUUUUUUGGGGGGGGAGGAGGGGAGAGCCCAUGCACGAGUUAACACCAGGUGGUGGAGCAGGGCUUCGGGUCCAGGUGUGGGGCAGCCCCUCCACCCCACAACUCCACGUGGAGCUGGAUGGCCAAGCCCUCCUGUGGGAUUUCCACAAGAUCACAGAAUUUUAGGUCAGAAAAAAACCUCUAAGAUCAUCAAAUCCAACCUUUUGGCACUGUUUUAG